rnacentral:rRNA from 1 species
UACGAAGGGGGCUAGCGUUGCUCGGAAUUACUGGGCGUAAAGCGCACGUAGGCGGAUUGUUAAGUCGGGGGUGAAAUCCUGGAGCUCAACUCCAGAACUGCCUUCGAUACUGGCGAUCUCGAGUUCGGGAGAGGUGAGUGGAACUGCGAGUGUAGAGGUGAAAUCGUAGAUAUUCGCAAGAACACCAGUGGCGAAGGCGGCUCACUGGCCCGAUACUGACGCUGAGGUGCGAAAGCGUGGGGAGCAAACAGGG